rnacentral:rRNA from 1 species
GAUGAACGCUGGCGGCGUGCCUAAUACAUGCAAGUCGAGCGAACAGAUGAGGAGCUUGCUCCUCUGACGUUAGCGGCGGACGGGUGAGUAACACGUGGAUAACCUACCUAUAAGACUGGGAUAACUUCGGGAAACCGGAGCUAAUACCGGAUAAUAUAUUGAACCGCAUGGUUCAAUAGUGAAAGACGGUUUUGCUGUCACUUAUAGAUGGAUCCGCGCCGCAUUAGCUAGUUGGUAAGGUAACGGCUUACCAAGGCAACGAUGCGUAGCCGACCUGAGAGGGUGGUCGGCCACCCUGGAACUGAGACACGGUCCAGGCUCCUGCGGGAGGCAGCAGUAGGGAAUCUUCCGCAAUGGGCGAAAGCCUGACGGAACAGCGCCGCGUGAGUGAUGGAGGUCUUCGGAUCGUAAAGCUCUGUUAUUAGGGAAGAACAAAUGUGUAAGUAACUAUGCACGUCUUGACGGUACCUAAUCAGAAAGCCACGGCUAACUACGUG